GACAGAGGGUGCGACCGUUGUUCGGAAUUACUGGGCGUAAAGCGCGUGUAGGCGGCUCGAUAAGUCGGAUGUGAAAGCCCUGGGCUCAACCUAGGAAGUGCAUUCGAAACUGCUGAGCUUGAGUUCUGGAGAGGAAGGCGGAAUUCUCGGUGUAGAGGUGAAAUUCGUAGAUAUCGAGAGGAACACCGGUGGCGAAGGCGGCCUUCUGGACAGCAACUGACGCUGAGACGCGAAAGCGUGGGGAGCAAACAGG
rnacentral:rRNA from 1 species